UGACCGGCCGCCAUCUUGCUACAGUCAACAGUUACUCUGAUUCGCGCUAUGGUAGCUGUUGUAAGAAGUACCUGACUAUGCCGAACUUUUGUGCAGCCUACGGAUGCUCUAAUCACCGCUGUCUGCAAACAAGAACCCGUGGGAUCACCUUUCACCUGUUUAAGGCAGUGGGAACUCGCCCUAAGAAGAGACGGUUUUGUUUCCUGUGACAGGACACUACUCUGCAGUGAGCACUUCAGGAGUGAGGAAUUUGACCGGACAGGGCAGACUAAUGGCGAAUCGCUACCACUAGGAGCAUAUAUCGCCACCUACUAUGUAUUUAUUAAAUCUUCAUGUUCCAUGAGACGCAGCACUCAGGGUUUCCGCUAGGAUUUUUUCUCGCCGGUCAAAUGUCCGGGCAGAAUUUAUUUUACCGGACACAUUUGAAACU